UCUAAUCUAAUUCCCUUUACUUUUUGGGUAGGUGGUAUAAUUACGUGUGUCAGGUGAGCCAGUUGUAUUUUCACCAUGUAUAUCAAAACACUAUUGGCUACUCUCUUUUUGGUUCAUGCUGUUAUGGGAGCACUGAGAUGCUACGAUUGCGACAGCACAAAGGGCCACGCUAACUGCCAAAGUGGAUCGGGAGUUACAGACGAAGAUAUGUGUCCAUAUCCACCUAAAGGUGGAUCGCGCAUAUGCCUUGAAUAUUCGGAAAAUGUGAACGGGUCAAUGAAAUAUGUGAGACAAUGCGACGUUGCGCAGGGCAAAUCACCUUGUCCUUCUAUGAAACAGACACGAAAAAUUAUCCAGUGUCGAGACUGUACAACUCAUUAUUGUAACAAAAAUCCUCUUUAAGGGUCAGUUUAUUUCCAAACGAAACUGUGUGCCUAUUUGAGGCAAUUGUAACAUUUGAGAAGCUUAAAUAAAAUUGUUUGGUGCAA